rnacentral:lncRNA from 1 species
GGCUGACCUCAAAUUUUCAAUCCUUCUGCCUCAGCCUCCCAAGUUGCUGGGACUAUAGGCAUAUACCCCUGCACCAGGCUUCUUCUUAAAUAUUUUUUUUUUCUUGGUGGUGCUGGGGAUUGAACCCAGGGGCCUUGUGCAUGUGAGGCAAGCUCUCUACCAACUGAGCUAUAUCCUCAGCCCCCUUCUUAAAUCUUAAAGAACAUUAUGAGGACAUUCAGUAUUUGUACUCAUACCACACAAAAGCUCAAUAAUAUCCUGAAAUUCAAGAGAUUUGACUAAGGAAGCCAUAAGCAACAACUUAUAUCCACUCCUUUCACAAUACUGCACCCAUGUGACUCCAGAAAAGUAUGACAGGGCUUGUUUGCCAUCACAGUGUUCUUGAAUAUCUCUGUUCCAUCUGAACAUUUGCCUAUUUCCUAUGUGAAGAUAUACAGUCCAAGUAGGGCUGUCUGAAUUCCCCUACCUAAGGUGUCAGAGAAUCUCAGGAAGUUACAAUGCUUACCUGGAACCUGCUAGAAACAACACUCACUCCAGGAAUGGCCAUCAUAAAAUUUCAUGAACUAUAGAUUAUAUAAUUAAUAAAAUUCCUAUAAGCCAGUACCAUUCAAGAUGUGGCCUGUGCACCAGCAUCAGUCCACAGUUUGUUACCAACUGAAAGUAUAGAAACUGAGAAGAAAUACUAGGAAACUUCUAUAGCAUUUGAACAUAGCUACAACAGCCAAAUAUGAUUAUAUAUUUUACACAAGUAUCACUUUAUAUUCUAUGAAAGAGUUGAAGGUGAAACACGGGUCUUUCUCCACAGAUACUUUAAGAAGGGCUGCCCCAUCCAUGUGGGGAGGUAGCCAGAGUUUUGGCCACAAGGUAAGUAGAUUAGAAGGAGUUGUGUGGUUGACUCACCCUGGUCUUCUUGGUUGCUUGGCUUACAGCAGGUCUUAUGUUAGGAACUCCUAAUUUCUAGACCUUCCCUAGCUCCCUGAAGCCUUGGAGUUUAGUGGAAGAACAACAGGAAUGCACCACACACACAUCUUACAGCUCCACUUGGAGAUACUGCAAAUUCAAAACAUGCUCAACUGAUCUUACUCCUACUUUCAAACCCAUUUAAACCACAUUAUCUUACCACAUGCUCAGAUUAAGUAUCUUCAGGUGGUCAAUGACAUUGUCUUACCCAAUCUAGUAGGAAAUCUGGUUGACUCUACCUUCUAAAUGUCUAGAAUCCCCUCUUGUCCCACCCAUUGCUACUGCAAUGGCCCCUUGAAGGAUCUCCCCACUGUUCCCUUGCUCCCCACAGUAUGUGCUCAGACUUCCAGUUCUCAGCAGCCAGAGUGGUCCCAUUAUGUCCCCCAGUGAAACCCUGCACACGUGCCCCUGUUUUACUCAGAAAGUCAAAUCUUCGCUGUAACCUCAGGACCAGAUAUAUGAUCUGUCUCCUCUGCUCCAGCCAUGCUGGCCCUAGAGCACUGCAGGCAGGUCCCCACCUUAGGGCCACUUGCUCAAGACCUGUCUGGAAGCUCUUCUUCCAGCUGUCCUUCCUUUGGUUACUUCCUUCAAGUCCUUUCUCAAAAGGGGUUCCCCCCCCAGAACUGGGGAUCCAACCCAUGGCCUUAUAUAUGCUAGAAAAGUACUCUACCACUGAGCCACACCCCGAU